AUUAUCAUUUCUCUUCUUCCUCUCUUUCUCGACGGAGGUUCCAGCAAAAUCCAAGAGAUUCCUCUCACAAUUUGAUUGCAAGCAGAGAAGAUUGAUUCAAUUUUGGGUGGCCUCUGGUGCAUGAUCAUAUCUCUGUAAAAGAUUCCUAACAAGAUUCGUUAAAAAGUCAAAAACUUUUUUCCAGCUCUCCGGCUUUGCGACAACGGCGGAAAUGAACAUGCAUGGAAUUCUGUCUUUGGCUGUGUUCCGUCGUUAGUAGCGGAUCUAGCCAUGGAAUCGGGAAUGUGACAGAUACUGACGAUAAGAUCUCGUGACUCGAAAGUCAGUUGUCGGCGAAGUCUCCUUCGCAGCUUCUCAUGGUCCCUCUCACCUUGAUUCAGUGUGCCUUGAUGGAACACUACCUGGUUAUCAUAUACACCGUGGUUCUGGAUCUGGAGCUAACAGGUGGCUAAUCCAACUCGAGGAAGAGACCAGAAAAACAGGGAUGCUCGUGACUUAAAAGACAUGUUACAAGCUCUUCAAAGGAAGAAACAAGAAAACAGGGACUUGAUUACAACUAAACUUUUUCCCCACUUGUGAUUGCUGUUUCUAUUUUUAUAUGCUUUUAUAUUUUGUAUGUUUAAACGUUUAUGAAUUUGUGAUUUCUGCUUCUAUUUUUAUAUGCUUUUAUGUUUUGUAUGUUU